rnacentral:rRNA from 1 species
GAAGAGUUUGAUCAUGGCUCAGAUUGAACGCUGGCGGCAGGCCUAACACAUGCAAGUCGAACGGUAACAGGAAGCAGCUUGCUGCUUUGCUGACGAGUGGCGGACGGGUGAGUAAUGUCUGGGAAACUGCCUGAUGGAGGGGGAUAACUACUGGAAACGGUGGCUAAUACCGCAUAACGUCGCAAGACCAAAGAGGGGGACCUUCGGGCCUCUUGCCAUCAGAUGUGCCCAGAUGGGAUUAGCUUGUUGGUGAGGUAACGGCUCACCAAGGCGACGAUCCCUAGCUGGUCUGAGAGGAUGACCAGCCACACUGGAACUGAGACACGGUCCAGACUCCUACGGGAGGCAGCAGUGGGGAAUAUUGCACAAUGGGCGCAAGCCUGAUGCAGCCAUGCCGCGUGUAUGAAGAAGGCCUUCGGGUUGUAAAGUACUUUCAGCGGGGAGGAAGGUGUUGUGGUUAAUAACCGCAGCAAUUGACGUUACCCGCAGAAGAAGCACCGGCUAACUCCGUGCCAGCAGCCGCGGUAAUACGGAGGGUGCAAGCGUUAAUCGGAAUUACUGGGCGUAAAGCGCACGCAGGCGGUCUGUCAAGUCGGAUGUGAAAUCCCCGGGCUCAACCUGGGAACUGCAUUCGAAACUGGCAGGCUUGAGUCUUGUAGAGGGGGGUAGAAUUCCAGGUGUAGCGGUGAAAUGCGUAGAGAUCUGGAGGAAUACCGGUGGCGAAGGCGGCCCCCUGGACAAAGACUGACGCUCAGGUGCGAAAGCGUGGGGAGCAAACAGGAUUAGAUACCCUGGUAGUCCACGCCGUAAACGAUGUCUACUUGGAGGUUGUGCCCUUGAGGCGUGGCUUCCGGAGCUAACGCGUUAAGUAGACCGCCUGGGGAGUACGGCCGCAAGGUUAAAACUCAAAUGAAUUGACGGGGGCCCGCACAAGCGGUGGAGCAUGUGGUUUAAUUCGAUGCAACGCGAAGAACCUUACCUGGUCUUGACAUCCACAGAACUUUCCAGAGAUGGAUUGGUGCCUUCGGGAACUGUGAGACAGGUGCUGCAUGGCUGUCGUCAGCUCGUGUUGUGAAAUGUUGGGUUAAGUCCCGCAACGAGCGCAACCCUUAUCCUUUGUUGCCAGCGGUCCGGCCGGGAACUCAAAGGAGACUGCCAGUGAUAAACUGGAGGAAGGUGGGGAUGACGUCAAGUCAUCAUGGCCCUUACGACCAGGGCUACACACGUGCUACAAUGGCGCAUACAAAGAGAAGCGACCUCGCGAGAGCAAGCGGACCUCAUAAAGUGCGUCGUAGUCCGGAUUGGAGUCUGCAACUCGACUCCAUGAAGUCGGAAUCGCUAGUAAUCGUGGAUCAGAAUGCCACGGUGAAUACGUUCCCGGGCCUUGUACACACCGCCCGUCACACCAUGGGAGUGGGUUGCAAAAGAAGUAGGUAGCUUAACCUUCGGGAGGGCGCUUACCACUUUGUGAUUCAUGACUGGGGUGAAGUCGUAACAAGGUAACCGUAGGGGAACCUGCGGUUGGAUCACCUCCUUACCUGAAAGAAGC